rnacentral:lncRNA from 1 species
AGCGCGUCGCCCGUUUCCGAGGUCGGGGGCCUCCACGUGUUCGGCUCCGCCGACCUCGCCGGCGCCCUCCCCGACCACGGCGCCAAGGAGAUCCGCAUGCUCGUCCCCGCCGACCUCCCCGCCAAGGGUAAAUUCAAAUUCACCUACUAUCAAAUUCAAAAUCCUAAAAUUCAAAAUAAUAAUAAUAAUAAUAAUAAUAAUCUAGAAUUGAAUGGUUCGAAAUUUAGGGUCGGGGAUACCGGGGGGAGAGGAUUGCGAAGGGCGGAGAGGAGGAGGAGGAGGAGGAGGAGGAGUGGGGGAGGGGUUUAGCUUCGGAGCGGGGAAGGGGCUGGAGGAGGAGGAGAUGGAGGAAGGGGCGAUGGGGCCCGAGGAGCUG